CAUUCGCUAGAGACAACGGCGCUAUGAUUCCUUUUCGGCAUGUACGUGUUCUCCAAGGACGAUACAAAGUAAACAAGUGUCAUACAUUUCAACGCGAUCUGAGUCGUUUUGGUGACAUUAACCCAUAACAUGAAUCACAUCUUUGUGAAACAAUUUUGUGUAUAUUAGGGCCUACUGUGGGCAGGCUGAUUUUGCCUACCCCGAAGCCCCGAAGUCUUUUCUCCCUAGACUCUUUCAUCGGCCUUGCAGUAGCUUAAACUGAAACGCACUGGCUUCGGUGUGUGCCUGGUUCCUGCUCCCUUGAGUUGACGAGAGCGUUCAUUGUCGGCGAGUGGGGACUUGUCUGUAAAGUUAACAGAAAAUACUUCAUGGCUUACUCAGUGUAAAGAGCAGCUGGAGCACGGAAAAAUAUUGUUCACAAUUAUGACAUCAACUUUGGGGGACAAAACAUUUUAUAUGAUGACAAAUUGUGCGUGUAAUUAUACUUUUAAAAUAUUGACGUAUCAUUCAAGUGUAAAUGCAAUAUUAUAAUUUGGUAUUUUAGCAUAAUACUCUAAUCUAAUACAAGUGUGUAAUUCUAUGAUAAUAAAAUACGACUUCAUCUCAACCAAUUCAGACCCCACAUUUGAUUUUGUAAGUGUAUGAUCAUCAUCACCACCACCACCACCUGAAGUCCACAUAAUCAUUGUCUAAUAGAGCGUGAUCGACGUUAUUAUAAUGUAACAAAUGUAUCAUCGCACGUUGCUGCCUGUUACUACUUUCUUUCCAAAUCCACCACCUGUUUGCCGUAUCUUGAGCACUGCUAGUGGUCAAAACAAUCCUCCCAUGAAAAUCCAACAUGGCUGCGCCCCUUAGGACAUUGUGUAGUACAGCUUUGAGGCAUUCCAGUCGUUGUUUUACUACGACUUGUGGGGCACAGUCCGGAAUCAAGUGGACGACAGAAAAUGGUCUUGUCCACAGAAAUGGUCUUGCCCACUGAAAUGGCCUUGCCCAGUGAAAUGGUCUUGCCCACUGAAAUGGUCUUGCCCGCUGAAAUGGUCUUGCCCACUGAAAUGGUCUUGCCCACUGAAAUGGUCUUGCCCACUGAAAUGGUCUUGCCCACUGAAAUGGUCUUGCCCGCAGUGGAACAGAGUAUGGUGCCCUGACAGAUAUCCCUGACUGGUUCU